rnacentral:rRNA from 1 species
UGAAAGAAAAAAUUUUCAGUAACUCCUGCUCAAUGAAUUUUAAUAGCCGCAGUUACCUGUGCUAAGGUAGCAUAAUCACUUGCCUACUAAUUAUAGGAUAGAAUGAAAGGAUGCACACGUAAGCUCCUUUAUUAUUAUAAGCCUUUUAACUUAGCAAAUAAGUAAAAAUCCUUAUUUCUCUAGGGGGACAACAAGACCCUAUUAAACUUCACAUUUUUGUUCAGCUGGGGCGGCAAUAAAACUAUAACUUUUUCUCAUCUUUAUAACUCAACUUUUAUAAAAAAAUUACCAAGUUACUAUAGGGAUAACAGCAUAAUUUUCUCCUGAAGACCUUAUAAAAGAGAAAGUUUGUGACCUCGAUGUUGAAUUAAGGCCCUAUUAGAAGCAGUAUUCUAAAAAGGAAGUCUGUUCGACUUUUUAUUCUUU